AGUGAACGCUGGCGGUAGGCCUAACACAUGCAAGUCGAACGGCAGCACAGUAAGAGCUUGCUCUUACGGGUGGCGAGUGGCGGACGGGUGAGGAAUACAUCGGAAUCUACUUUUUCGUGGGGGAUAACGUAGGGAAACUUACGCUAAUACCGCAUACGACCUACGGGUGAAAGCAGGGGAUCUUCGGACCUUGCGCGAUUGAAUGAGCCGAUGUCGGAUUAGCUAGUUGGCGGGGUAAAGGCCCACCAAGGCGACGAUCCGUAGCUGGUCUGAGAGGAUGAUCAGCCACACUGGAACUGAGACACGGUCCAGACUCCUACGGGAGGCAGCAGUGGGGAAUAUUGGACAAUGGGCGCAAGCCUGAUCCAGCCAUACCGCGUGGGUGAAGAGGGCCUUCGGGUUGUAAAGCCCUUUUGUUGGGAAAGAAAAGCAGCAGGUUAAUACCCCGCUGUUCUGACGGUACCCAAAGAAUAAACACCGGCUAACUUCGU
rnacentral:rRNA from 1 species